UACGUAGGUGACAAGCGUUGUCCGGAUUUACUGGGCGUAAAGAGCGCGCAGGCGGUCGAUCAAGUCGAGUGUGAAAGCCCCCGGCUCAACUGGGGAGGGUCAUUCGAUACUGAUCGACUCGAAGGCAGGAGAGGGUAGUGGAAUUCCCGGUGUAGUGGUGAAAUUCGUAGAUAUCGGGAGGAACACCAGUGGCGAAGGCGGCGAUCUGGGAAGAUACUGACACUGAGGUGCGAAAGCGUGGGGAGCAAACAGG
rnacentral:rRNA from 1 species